CGGUGCCAGCAGCCGCGGUAAUUCCAGCUCAAUAGCGUAUAUUAAAGUUGUUGCAGUUAAAAAGCUCGUAGUUGAAUUUCGGGAUCAAUAUAUCGGUCGUGCCAUUGGUACGUACUGGUAUCAUUGGUUUCUCCUUUCUGACGAACCAUGAUGUCAUUAAUUUGGUGUUAUGGGAAGUUAGGACUGUUACUUUGAAAAAAUUAGAGUGUUUAAAGCAGGCUUUAGCUUGAAUACAUUAGCAUGGAAUAAUGAAAUAGGACGUUCGAAUCUAUUUUGUUAGGUUUCUAGGAUCAACGUAAUGAUUAAUAGGGGAUAGUUGGGGGCAUUAGUAUUCAAUUGUCAGAGGUGAAAUUCUUGGAUUUAUUGAAGACUAACUACUGCGAAAGCAUUUGCCAAGGAUGUUUUCAUUAAUCAAGAACGAAAGUUAGGGGGAUCGAAGACGAUCAGAUACCGUCGUAGUCUUAACCAUAAACUAUGCCGACUAGGGAUCGGAUGAUGUUAAUUUUUUAAUGACUCAUUCGGCGCCUUACG
rnacentral:rRNA from 1 species